AGAGAAGUAGGCAGGACUUCAGUUCCCAGGCUUUGGGUCUGAAGAGAGGCCAGGAAAAGAGAGGAGAGAGGAGAAGGAAAAGAUGUCAUAGAGAGGUGGAUCACCAGGAAAGGCCAGUUGGAGUAGGAGUGGCCCAGGCAAAACACGGUAGUUCAAAGACCAAGCAAAAAGCCUUUAACUUAGGGGCCAGAAAAGCACACUAUUUCAACAGUGGAGGUCAGCAAGAAGCCACAGGGCUGAGAGUAGUGGAGCUUCAGAGAAUGGUUAGAAAAUGUAAGGUGGUGAAAGAAAGAUGAAAUUUCAAGACCUGUAAGUCUUACAUUUUGGGGGCUUGUCCUGGAUUUGGGAGCGCCCAGAAACCUGAGAAUACCCCUUGGAGAUACUUAUUUUAUUGAUGGUUCAUCAAAGGAUAUAAGAUGGUUUCGUGGGCCUGGAGAGAUGGCUCAGCAAGUAAGAACACUGACUGCUCUUCCAGAGGUCCUGAGCUCAAAUCCCAGCAGCCACAUGUUGGCUCACAACCGUCUGCAAUGAGAUCUGAUGCCCUCUUCUGGUGUGUCUGAAGACAGCUACAGUGUACUCAAAUACAUAAAAUAAAUAAAUAAAUCUUUAAAAAAACCAUUU
rnacentral:lncRNA from 1 species